AAAAGCCGAAGGUACUCUAGAGGAAACCAGCUCUCCUGGUUGGUCCAGGGUCUCACUCUGGACCAUAGUUUGGGGGCCAGCCUGGAAUACAUAAUGACCUUACUAUUCACUAUGUAGCCCAGAGUGGCUUCAGCCUGAUGGACAUCCUGCUUGAGCCUUCCACCUGUUGUAGCCCAGUACGUUUGGAUGCCGACCUCCCAUGACUCUGGAUGAGGUCCGUGACAUCACAUACAUGUUCAUGGGCUGCUGCCCGAAGGGACACAGUGAUGCAGAGGUUCCCACCUGCACUGUCCCCCGCAAGGCAUAUCCGCUCUCCGGUUGAACCUAGUUGUGGGGGGAAGAGCCCAGUCAUAUCCUGGCAUGAGCAGGCGUCAUAGGAGAUGAGCCUGGCUAGCACAGGACCCGGUCCCGUGUGUGCCAAGGGAGGCGAGAUGGUAACCGUGAGCCUGGGAUCAGAGCCCUCGGGCUUGGGGCGCUGUAGCGAGCAGUUGUAGCUUCGCUGGCUGUCUGGGAGUCUGCUGGGCUUUCUCCUCGCUGAGCUCACCGAUAGCACCUCGAUCUCAGUGAUGUUCCAGAAGGCUUUCCAGAAGUGGACAUCCAGGUUCUGUAUGAUACGUUCAAAUUCAGCCCCGCGCAACUCUGGGUCUAUGGCGAAUCGGCCACCGUGUUCCCCGAAGGACACCAGCCCGAUGGAGAGAGUCUGCAGGAACGGCCGGAUGGCAGGUGUGAACUGUGAAGGAAUGCCUGUGUCACCCAAGUACCCAGGAGAGGGAUGAGGAUGGGGCACGAGUUGGGACAGAGAUAGGAGUAGGCACAUACAUUUGGUAAGGUAGGCACAUACAUUUGGUAAGCUUUUACUGGGCUGCUGUGGUAUGCUGUGAGCAUCACCCUGGCCCUUUCAUGGACCUAGUGUCCUCAAAGGAAGGAGACGAUGAACAAAAUAAAGACAUGUCUAAAUC
rnacentral:lncRNA from 1 species